rnacentral:rRNA from 1 species
UGGACGCAAGUCUGAUGGAGCAACGCCGCGUGAGUGAAGAAGGGUUUCGGCUCGUAAAGCUCUGUUGGUAGUGAAGAAAGAUAGAGGCAGUAACUGGCCUUUAUUUGACGGUAAUUACUUAGAAAGUCACGGCUAACUACGUGCCAGCAGCCGCGGUAAUACGUAGGUGGCAAGCGUUGUCCGGAUUUAUUGGGCGUAAAGCGAGUGCAGGCGGUUCAAUAAGUCUGAUGUGAAAGCCUUCGGCUCAACCGGAGAAUUGCAUCAGAAACUGUUGAACUUGAGUGCAGAAGAGGAGAGUGGAACUCCAUGUGUAGGGGUGGAAUGCGUAGAUAUAUGGAAGAACACCAGUGGCGAAGGCGGCUCUCUGGUCUGCAACUGACGCUGAGGCUCGAAAGCAUGGGUAGCGAACAGGAUUAGAUACCCUGGUAGUCCAUGCCGUAAACGAUGAGUGCUAAGUGUUGGGAGGUUUCCGCCUCUCAGUGCUGCAGCUAACGCAUUAAGCACUCCGCCUGGGGAGUACGACCGCAAGGUUGAAACUCAAAGGAAUUGACGGGGGCCCGCACAAGCGGUGGAGCAUGUGGUUUAAUUCGAAGCAACGCGAAGAACCUUACCAGGUCUUGACAUCCAGUGCAAACCUAAGAGAUUAGGAGUUCCCUUCGGG